GUGUUCACUUUGGCAGCAUAUAUACUAAAUAGAAAUGAUACAGAGAAGAUUAGCAUGGCCCUGCACCAGGAUGACAUGAUAAUUCAUGAAGCAGUCCAUAUUAAA
rnacentral:snRNA from 1 species